rnacentral:rRNA from 1 species
AUGAAGGAGGCUCUGAAGAAGAAGGACCAUGACCUUGCCGAAGCGCAGAAGGCAGCUUCGGACAAAACGAAGCUUGCGGAAGAAAAACUGGCUUCAGUCGGUAAACUUGAAGAGGAGAACGCCAAUCUGAAAGCUGCUCUCGACGCGGCCAACAAGGAGGUCGGCUGUCUGAAGAAUGAUAAAAUAGCUCUGACUGACAAGGCUAGCGAACUAGCGGGGAAGAAGAACGAUCUAGAGGCUUAUCUGGGAGGGCUCGCCAAGAAGUUAUUCAUCAUGCUUGAAGAAUUCUGCCAAAACUUCGAGGAGGAGACCAGUCGAGUGGAGACAAGCUUGGACCCCAUUAACUCUCCUCUGAAGGAUGAAGCCGCUAUGAACGUGCUUCGACUGGAGUCUUGUGUUGCUGGAGUUGUUGACUACCUUGCUCGACUGAAGGUUGUGACGUCGCGAAUCGACACGACACUCUGGCCGGGAGAGACGCUUCAAAAUGACCUCGAGUCUCUAAUGACUCGACUGAAUGAAGUUCCAGGUCGAGUGCAAGAAUGGAAGGAGUCUUCUGCCAGGUGUGGUGCUGACGUUGCUCUAUCCCUGGUCCAUGUUCACUGCAAGGAUGCGCGAGAGGACAAGCUGGCGUCCAUCAAAGUGGCCAAUACCAAGAAGCACGACUUCCAAUCUUUCAUUGAGACCUUCAUUGCUGCUGCCACUCGGAUUGCUGACGGAAUCGACCUGGACCAGUUUGUCGCGCCCUCCAGUCCUUCGCCUGAGGAGUAA